ACCGGCGCACGGGUGAGUAACGCGUAUCCAACCUGCCCACCACUUGGGGAUAACCUUGCGAAAGUAAGACUAAUACCCAAUGAUAUCCCACGAAGGCAUCCGAAUGGGAUUAAAGAUUUAUCGGUGAUGGAUGGGGAUGCGUCUGAUUAGCUUGUUGGCGGGGUAACGGCCCACCAAGGCAACGAUCAGUAGGGGUUCUGAGAGGAAGGUCCCCCACAUUGGAACUGAGACACGGUCCAAACUCCUACGGGAGGCAGCAGUGAGGAAUAUUGGUCAAUGGGCGAGAGCCUGAACCAGCCAAGUAGCGUGCAGGAUGACGGCCCUAUGGGUUGUAAACUGCUUUUAUAAGGGAAUAAAGUGGGUCACGUGUGACUUUUUGCAUGUACCUUAUGAAUAAGGACCGGCUAAUUCCGUG
rnacentral:rRNA from 1 species